rnacentral:rRNA from 1 species
GGCCUGCGCGGAAGAUGUAACGGGGCUAAACCAUGCACCGAAGCUGCGGCAGCGAACGUAUCACUUAAAACGCUUAACGUUGCGAAGCGACGUUCAAGCCACUAAAACGUUGAGUUGGCCUGAGAGCUGACAGAUGGAAAGGCGUUUUAAGGAUACGUUCGUUGGGUAGGGGAGCGUUCUGUAAGCCGUUGAAGGUGGCCUGUGAGGGCUGCUGG